AAUGUUGUUGCAAUAGUAAUUGAGUUUGGUACGAGGGGUACCGUUGAUUCGGAUAGUUGGUAUUUAAGCCUAUCUGAACAGGCAAUGGCCAGAAGCUAUCAUCCGUUGGAAUAUCGUUGAACGUCUCCAAGUUAGGAUCCGUGCUAGGACGCGACGAUUACCGCCUUUUCCGAUUUUUAGUUGAAUACGAAUAGGGCUUCGGCCCCUGAGUCAUGCUGUGAGGGUUCGCAUGUUGGACAGAAAGGUUCGAGUUGUGUCCUCUAAUGUUAAUUACAAAUAUUGAAAAGAUAAAUCCAUUGCAGACGACUUUUUAGCAACGGUGUACUGUAGGGUUGUAGAGUAGCCUUGUUGCCCUUCUACGGCGGAUUUGUUCAUAUAUGAUAAGUUU
rfam:Lobosporangium transversale strain NRRL 3116 BCR41scaffold_18, whole genome shotgun sequence.